UCAUUUUGAUUUCCUAAUCGCACGUGGACAAAUUUUCCGAGCGACACUGAAAAAUUAAAUUCUUGGACUAACUAUUUUUUUUCUUCUCAUUCCUCGGACUCUCGUUUGCCAGACGUCGAUUCUCCCUAUUCUCCACACCGGCAAAUCCCACGGGAGAUUUUUCUCCCUUUGAACAAUUUACUUAGCCUAGAAGGAACCCCCUUUCUUCUCCUAUAAGCAACAUAUUUUGCUUGUCAUCUAAGCAACCUUUGCUUCUCUUGUAAGCAACCCCUUGCUUCUCUUGUAAGCAACCCCUUGCUUCACUUCUAAGCAAUCAAACCAGCCCCUUUUCUUCUCCUUUAAAUCCCCCAUGCCCCCUCCCCAACCAGCCAUUUCCUCUCCCUCCCUCUCCCCACGCCACUCUCCCUACUCCCUCCCUCUCUCUCUAUCUCCCUCUCUCUAGCACCCCAUGCAGCAGCAACCCCCCUCCAAUGGAGCUGGCGACCGAGCCCUCCCAAGCUCCUCUCUCACCUUGGCAAGCUCUCCCAUGGCGUCUCCCCCUCCUCUACGGCAGUAAGGUGUAGGUGAGCUCCGGGUCAAGAACUUGUGUGCUGAAAUUUCAGAUUCUUGCACUUUCUUCUAAAAUCUAUAACUCGAGUUUGGGAGCUCCUAAAAUAGUAAGACUUGUUUUGUUAGCUUCCAUGUGAAAUGUGCUACCUAUUAGAUCUAUAAUAUGACCUGUUUUAGUAGAUGUUUUUGUCUGUGCAAAUUAAAUCUUAAAAAGAGGUUUAGAGAAUAAACGAACUUGCUUCUCUCCAUAGUUUUCAUUAUAAAAAUCCAAAAAUGAUCAAACUUGUUUUGUUAGUUAGAUGUUGUCAUACUCCAUCUAAGAAAAAUAUAAAACUUGUAGGUUGUUCACUGUUUUCUUGGUGUGUUAAUUUAAACAUGUUAAGUAGGAAAAAGAUAGUUGUUUUGCUUGUUAUUUUUAGAUCUGUAACUCUAGUGCUCCAAAUGGAUUCAAAUUUUUACAGUAGACUCUUGGUGUGAUGCUUGGUGACUGGUAAAUAUUUCAUGAAUUGUUGUGCAUGUAUGAUUAAGUUAGUGAUUUAACUUGUUUAAUGCACCUUAAGUAGUUUUAAAUGAUUUAAAAAUAAUAUAUAGAUGAAAAAAUGGAAAAUGGUGUUCUACUGUCCUUGCAUGGUAUUAUAGUAGCCUAAGAAAACUCAAUAUGGUAAUGCAUCUACAGAAAAUAAUUAGUUUUAGAUUUAACUUGCUCUCACAUACUUUAUUGCAUUGACAAUUUGUUAUUUUUGUAUUAAAUAAAAUAUAAAACCUGGACAUGUGAAAUUUAUACAUUAGUCAUAAAUUGUUAUUACCUAUGCCUCAUAAAAAUUCUAGCCCCAAAUUAGAUAGUUUCAUAUGGUGCUAAAAUAACACCCCUUUUAUAAUUACAAGAGUUAGUAAAAAAAUUAGGAGAAAACAAAAUCAUGCAUGUUUCAUGGAAUGCUUGAGUUACACCUUAAAACUAAUUAGAGAUUUAAUGGUUAUGUCAUGGUGUCCUAAAGAUAAAUAUUACUAGUACUUCAUCAUAGUUUUGUGUGAUGUCGGACAUGUGUGCCGAAGUGUUUUAUUUUGGUGAAUGUGUUUGUUAAUUAUGUGGUAAUUCUAGCGCACGAAAUAACUUGGAUGAAAAGUUAGUAAGUCUGCUUGUUGUUCCUAAUUUGAUUGUUUCAACUCUAAAAAAAAUGGUAAAGUGUUAAAAUGGUUGAAGUCUCUAGAACGCGGCAAUUUUUGAAGUGAAUAGGAGCUGAAUUCUAUUGGUUGUUGUUUUAGGCUGCACGUACUGUUUUCGUCGUGCUGUUUGUUUGAUGAACUAAAUUAUGUUUUCUGUAGAAAAGCCAUAUAAGAAAGUUGUAGAUAACUUUAUUAUCUUACUUGUGUUAAAAUUUUACAGCCAUAAGUCUGAUCGUUUAGAAGUUGUGCUUUUUACAAAUUCAGUAACUGAAUCUGUCCAAAUUCUGUACAGAUUUCAGAAGCUGCAUUGUUUGCUUAAGUUAUUGUUAGAAUCAGUCCUUGUCGAUUAUAAUAAAGUUGUAGAGGCUUUUCUGAUCUUGCUUGUGUUAAAAUUUCGUAACCAUAGGACUGAUAGUUUAAGAGUUAUCAAUUUUCCAAACUGGUUGCUGUGUUCUGUCCUCUGUCAGAACAGAUUUCAAAAACUGUAAUGUUUGAUUUGAAUAAACCUGGAAUCACUUCUUGGUGAUUAUAAAAGUUAUGUAGUACUUUUUCCAAGCUUUCCAAAAAGUCUUGUAUCACUCUUUUUGGUGGUCUGAAGAUUAAGUUACAUGUGUUUGAAGUGUGAAGACUGAAUCUGCCCAGUUUUGGACAGCAAAGCCUUCUAGUGUCUUUUGUCCUUAGUAAAACAUGGAAUCACCUUGAUAUAUUUAUAAAUGAUAUGUAGAAAAUUUUAUUACCUUUCCAGCAAGUCCAAGAUCACUUUGUUUAGAUGUCUGAAUCUUCAGUUAUGAAUUUUUGAAGUUGCAAGUCUGAAUCUGUCCAAAUCUGGACAGAGCUGUUGUGAUUGCACUUUUUGACCUUGUUAAGUGUUGAAUCAGGUUGAGUUGAAAAUACCAAAGUGGUAGCUCACUUUUUAAGCUUUCCAGAAAAUCUUAGUUUGCUAGUUUUGGAUUAAUAUUUAAAGAGUUAUGGUUAAAAUAAAUAACUGCUGUACUGCUGUCCUAAAAAUCUGCAUGUGCUCAAUUGAUUGUUAGUUCACCCCUUUUGGCUAAAAAUGGUUGGUUAGCACUAAAUUAAUGUAGAUUUGCCAUGAUUAAGCUUAAUAAUGCACGUGUGUCAUGUUUUGUAUGUUUCUUGCUGUAGUUGAUUGUGAUAUAGGAGUCUAUCGACAUUGAUGCAUAGGUCCUCUAUUGAACUUGUGUUGGGAUGCUUUUUGUGUGCUUAAUAGAAGAACUAAUGAAAGGCCGUAGCUAAUUAAAUAAAUGCUCAUACUUGUGAUGUCCUGUGUGUGUUGGUUAAUUAUAGGUAGUAAUCGUCGUCCUUCCAGUGGUAUUGAUGUGGUGCGCUCGAUAGAGUGUAGAUAGCUAAUGCUAGCAUGUGGUUGUUUACGGUGUCUUGAAAUUAAGUGCCUAGCUCGCUACCGUGUGUCUUUAUAUAUCCUGUGCUACCUUGUGCUAUUCCAUUAUAUUCAUACAUAUGCAUCUUGCACCUCAUAUAGGACCGAGAGAUGAUGAUCGAGCCAGUGAUGUGGUGGUAACAACAAGGUGCAGUUGGUGGACGUACUGAAGGAUGAUGGACUUAACCAGUGGAUGCUCGCCGAGCAAGUACCUCCCCCAACAAACACUAUCUAAGUGUUAAAUUAAAGGCAAGCCCCGGUUUUAUGCAUAACCGUUAUAUAUGCUAUUUUACUGCACUUAAUGUUUGUAGGCUUGUACCGUGCACUUAAGUGUAGGAGUUGAAUGAAACCCUAGUUGCAUGAACUCAGGAUUCCCUUUGAGAUGGAUACUAGUAUGCUAGGUCGAGUAGCUGCUUUGCUAAUUAGGGAUCUCGGUAGAAGUCGAGUGAUUUUUCUAGCACUCGCGCGAGGUCAGGAAUUGGUUGUAUCCAUUUUUAUAUCAUAAUGAUGUUGGUCUGUGGACAACGGUCCAUGGGGAUGCGUUGUCUACGAGACGGAAAUUGGAAUAAGGAUUAAGGUGUGGUACCGUGUGUCAAGCGUUUGAACGUACUAAACAUAUGCCGAGAAAUAUGGUAAAUCGGUAAGCCUAGUACCUGAUUGAACCUGGCAGUGGACUUUACCCCUCACGUGACCUGAGACGAGGUCUCCCAUUCCGGUUAUGGUGGGUACAAGUGCGGUCACUGCACGACGGCCAGUCGGGGUCAGUGAGGCAUUGUACGCCAAGGCGGUGAGCCCUGAUCUGCUGACGGGGAAUCGAUGGGGACGGUUGAUGUGUGUGGGGACGGAGUGCCCCUGCAUGUCGUGUGUUUAGGUUUACAUUGCAAGGUUUAAAAACUCGAUUCGAAUCGUCUGCUUCUCGCAGCUAAUGAGACUGCUUGAUCCAUGCUGCUACAUUGAGUAAAAAGUGGAAAUGAGGUGACUGGCAAAAGAUGUUGAUUGGUAAAAAUGUUUGAUACCAUGUAUGAAUAGCUAGGUACACAUCUAGUUAAAAGGAUCAUACUAAAACUUGAAAAGCUAAAACUUGAUUUUAGACUCAGCUAGUGCUAUUGGCAAACCAAACCCCUCAGCCAAAUAGCUGCAUGUCUAGAGGUAGAGGAGUAGACUCCUCACACCGGGUAAGUCUAGCUGAGUAUUAGUAUACUCAGCCUUGCUUGUGGCACAAUUUUUGCAGGUACUCUUUAGGAUGUUUGGUUGAUGGUGUGACUUGGCCUCCAUCCCUGCCACCGGGAUAGACGGUCGAGUGGGUUACUGCUUCCGCAGGAGAGGACCAGGAGGAGUAGUGUGGCCAGGCUUCGCCAUGUUACUCGGUUUUCUCCGUUAGUUAUUUCCGCUGCAUUAAAAUUUAUGGUUAUUAUUUCUGAAACUCCGAUAAUGUAAUCACUAAUGAUACUUAUUAAAUUUGUGGUAUUAUGUUUUUAUUGUAUUUCUCUGUGCCUCACCUUCGUGUGAGCUAGUGGUAUUCGAUCCUGGUAAGUGGCUUUAUCGGACUAGAUCCGAGGGACUGACGGGUUAUUCCUGUUUAAGUGUGUUGCUGCCUUUAUGGGUGCGACUUGGGCACUUAAGCUGGAAUAAUUCGGGCGGUUCCGCCACAGCUGGUAUCGGAGCGAAUACCAUCACAGAGAAGUCAAUAAGUCAUGAUUACCAACCUUUUCUAAAGUAAAACUUGCUUAGAAACCAAAGUUGGAUAGAUCGUCAGGACGAUAAGGAUAGACCUAGGACGUGAAGCCCUAGGAAUAGAUGGGUAACUAGGUGGCUAGUUAUUUAGGCCAUAAAGGCUACUACUACUACUAAUAAGGAUGCUGUAGAAGCACCCGAAAAAAUAGUUAGGUCUGAAAAGACGACUAGAAUGAGCAUGCAUCCUGAUUGUCGCAUCAUUGUCUCUUGUGCAUCAACAUGCUUUUCUCACCUUUAUACCAAUAAUAAGAAAUUGUGAAUAAUGUGUUGUAUUGCUAGGAACUGCAAAAAAAUGUCU
rnacentral:lncRNA from 7 species